rnacentral:rRNA from 1 species
GAUGAACGCUGGCGGCGUGCCUAAUACAUGCAAGUCGAGCGAAUGGAUUAAGAGCUUGCUCUUAUGAAGUUAGCGGCGGACGGGUGAGUAACACAUGGGUAACCUGCCCAUAAGACUGGGAUAACUCCGGGAAACCGGGGCUAAUACCGGAUAACAUUUUGAACCGCAUGGUUCGAAAUUGAAAGGCGGCUUCGGCUGUCACUUAUGGAUGGACCCGCGUCGCAUUAGCUAGUUGGUGAGGUAACGGCUCACCAAGGCAACGAUGCGUAGCCGACCUGAGAGGGUGAUCGGCCACCCUGGGACUGAGACACGGCCCAGACUCCUACGGGAGGCAGCAGUAGGGAAUUUUCCGCAAUGGACGAAAGUCUGACGGAGCAACGCCGCGGGAGUGAUGAAGGCUUUCGGGUCGUAAAACUCUGUUGUUAGGGAAGAACAAGUGCUAGUUGAAUAAGCUGGCACCUUGACGGUACCUAACCAGAAAGCCACGGCUAACUACGUGCCAGCAGCCGCCGUAA